ensembl:lncRNA
CUGUGAUCCGCGGGGUGAAAACAUUCUCUUUGUCAGUGAGAGGAAACGGGGAGCAUCACUAGCCUCUCUGCAUGCUGCAUGAGUCAGCCACAGUUUAUGCACCUGCUGUGACUUACAAAUCUGAAUGCACUGAAUGCACUCGGAGAUGCUGGUUUUGCAAACAGAUGGAUUUUGCAAAUCCUGUUAAUAUUUUCGUGUGUAAAGUCUUCCCAGCAGAAAAGGAGCAUGUCCACGUGAGUAUUGGAUCCACUUACCCUUAUAGAUUUUGAAAUAGUAGCUUCAUUUUACUCAAGCUGGAGAUAUAAAUAGAUUCAUUGUAGAGGGGGCACCCUGCAGAGUGCUUGUGAGAACGGUGACUUUCAGGAAAUUAAAUUUUAAAUUGGUUGCUCUAAGAUAACAAGAGGGGGAAAGAAGGAAAGAUGUCUUUACCAACACAUCAGCUCUGGAGGGCUCAGUUUAACCGUACUCUGGCAAAAUAACCAGCUUGGAGACAACACGGGGUCUGUGUGCAUAAACAGCUUGUCAUGCUCUCUCUUGAUCACAGGGCUUUAUUCCAAAAAAGUUACUGGAAUGUGCUGUUCUCACAAUGUUUAAGCUGCUCAGGCAGGGAAAACUGCAUAACGCUUUUCCUACGUAAGCUCCAGUAUUUGACAUGUACUGGACUCCUCUUGUUCCAUGCAUCUGCUCCAUGCAUCCUUUUGCAUGGGAAGGGGUCAGAGAAGUAAACAAGGAAGUUGAGCCUAAUAAGAAUGGGAAAAAGGGCUUGGUACUGAGAAUGCAGGAGAGAUGCAGAGGAACAGCAGAAGCACAGCAUGUAUGUCAGCAGUUUUCAUGCAAAACUACUGAGAUUCUUCCAUUCAUCUACCAGCAAGAGUACCUUGGGGCAGGGCAGGCAAACCCAAAUGUACCGGCUCUCCUGAGCUGACUCCAAAAUACGCAAUAAAACAAGGUAGAAAUGGAGUGCUGCAAAAAUUAGCAAUCUUCAUCAGCCACAGCAAGAAACUCUAUCAUCCAAAUGGCUUGCUCAUUCCCAAUAUAUGAGGGUCAAAGGCAGGCAGCCCUCAGCCAUGCUCAGUGCCCUCACAGGGACUUCUCCAGCAAGAGGAAAGUAGGAAUGCAUCCAC